rfam:Vibrio sp. AND4 1103602000569, whole genome shotgun sequence.
GCGACACUAGCUCAGUUGGUAGAGCGCAACCUUGCCAAGGUUGAGGUCACGAGUUCGAACCUCGUGUGUCGCU